rnacentral:misc_RNA from 1 species
AAGUCGUAACAAGGUUUCCGUAGGUGAACCUGCGGAAGGAUCAUUCUUGAUAAUAUAGCGUAAGCUAUCAUUAAACUAUGUGCACCGUUACCGCCAUUUUGGCGGCCGAAAGGUCGUCAUUUGGCUUCUCUUAAAUUUACUAAUAACUUACUAUAACUAAUAAUAAUAAAAUCUUAUGACAACUUUUAGCAAUGGAUCUCUAGGCUCUCGCAUCGAUGAAGAAGC